CUCAGAAAUAUGCAAAAAGAAGGAAAAAGGGAAGUUAACAACCUUGGAUUAUCUGAACAGGACAGCACAGAAUUUGCUAUGAGGAAGCUGAGGCAAAGAGCACAGAAAGGCCUUGCAGCUUGAUCAAGAUCAUGUACAUGCCUUGCUGGACCCCUGUGUGCUGUCAACUCCCACCACCAACACCCCCUCACCGCAUACGUAAGGGAUUUCCAGGGGGUGUGGCUCACAGUCCAGCCUCCCCAGAUCACCUGAGACAUCAUGGAGGAGUUUCAACUGGAUUCCACUGCAUCAGUGCGUUUUGUGGGGCUGGG
ensembl:lncRNA